GCCCCCGUAGCGCAACGGAUAGCGCAUCGGCCUUCUAAUCCGACGGUUGCAGGUUCGAGUCCUGCCGGGGGCG
rnacentral:tRNA from 1 species